CACGUAGGCACCAAGCGUUAUCCGGAUUUAUUGGGCGUAAAGAGCUCGUAGGCGGUUUGGUAAGUCGGGUGUGAAAACUCUGGGCUCAACCCAGAGAGGCCACUCGAUACUGCUAUGACUAGAGUACGGUAGGGGAGCGGGGAAUUCCUGGUGUAGCGGUGAAAUGCGCAGAUAUCAGGAGGAACACCAAUGGCGAAGGCAGAUCUCUGGGCCGUUACUGACGCUGAGGAGCGAAAGCAUGGGGAGCGAACAGG
rnacentral:rRNA from 1 species